AGCCGUACGCUCCUUUUUGGUUUUUGCGCGCGUUCGUACCGAGUUCGACAGAAUUCGAAUUGUGUGUUGACGAAAGUGCCGAAUCUUGUAUCAAACGAUCGAGUGUUGUGAUACGCGAGUAUCAAGGUUGUACGUAGAAACGAUCGUGCUAGCUCAUGAAGCUUGACAUUGUUGCGAAGUUUUCUUGUGCGCGCGCGUACUCGCUCGAAUAGGUCACAUCAAGAUCGCGAAAGUAUCAAACAUUACGUGACUGGUUGUCGUGCGAUCACGCUAGAUAGAAGUUUUGCGAACGGAAGUGAGUUGUCGUCUUUGUACCUUACAUCUACGCGUGCAUUCAUUUAAACGGCUCUCGCCACUGUUUUGGCUGACGUCUAUCACAUCGGAGUUGCUUCUUCUUGCGCCGCCAUAUUCGUCGUUUCUUGCGUUUGGUUUGGUCCGACACGUCACUUUUCGCGUUCAUUAAAUGCAAAUUGUGCGCAGAUACGGUGCCGAAAAUGACGAAUGUAACUGCGGACCGGUCGUGUUUAUACGUGAGUUGCACAGUGACAUGUAAAAACAAUCGCAUUCGUGAGGUAUUUCUGCAUACAAAAUUAGCACCUGUUGCAUCGCGAUGAGUUAACUUUCGCGCGCGUGUUACAGUUUAAUCACGCUCGUGUGUCAUACAUUAUACGCACAAUAACAAUAGUGUCGAAUAAAGAAUAAAUCGUCGUUAAUGUGCGGUUCUAGGAGAGCAAGGAGAGCGAGAUGCCACCAGGAUUCCAGUGAAAAAACAGCAUUCGUCAAAGUAACUCUGUGGACGAAGUUACAUUCUGCUCCAUCGCAUCGUGUAUCAUUAAAUCGCAGGAUCUGAGAGGAGGUAGAGGCCUGGGAGAAGCAUAUGGCAACGGCGGUGCAACCUUGAGUAAUCACCGUAGUUUCGUAGCUGAUUAACUCCGCUCGUUGCGCAUCGGGUCGGUGAGUCGUAAAUCCUAAAUCCUAAUCCUAAAUCAAUUUAUUUUAUUUUAUUUUUAUGCUUUGCAAAUAUCCUGCGCAGGACUAAGAAAAGGACACUAAAAAAAAGAGUUUGGUAAUAACUACUAAAUGUUGAGUGAAAUAAUGCCAAUUAAACAUUCGAUUAAUAGAUAUUACCAAAAAUAUUACUAAACUCUUUUCUUCAGUGGACUCAAAUAAUUUUUCGAAGGGGAAACCGAGUACCCAAUCGCGCGCGAUCGGUCUUCGGGAGUGUCGUGUAAAGUACACUGAAAAUAAAGUCUGAUAAUAAGCGCCAAAUGUAUGGUGUAAUAGUAUCAAUUAACUAUUUCAAUGUAACUAAAAGUAAUUUUACUUUAAAUAUUUAAUAAAGUUAUACCAGAUUUGGUAAUACUUACUAAACAUUUAGGAAAAUAAAAUUAUUAUUAUUUUUUGACGUAAUGACAAAAUAUUUAAUUGAUACUAUUUCACUAUACAUUUGGUAGUUAUUACCAGAUUUUUUUUUCGUGUAUCAUCGCGCGAUCGUAACCGUAUUUUCGCGAGUGAAUUAGUGCGAUCCUAUUGAUGAUCUGAGAGGAAGAGGGUGAGGCCUGCGAGGCAAUCUUCAGAUAUUCUUCGAGGUGGAAGACGACGAGAAGAGGACAUCACCCAUCGUCGCCGACUUACCAUAUAAUAAAAUGAACGAACCGCAGCCGGUUCGUCGCGUCGCGCGUUUUUUCCGGGAGUGUCGUUUAAGUAUUGGACUAAUGAACUUUUCAUAACUCCCAUUUGAUAGAAUCCUAAUUCGAGGGCCGGGAAUCGCACCCCCGCUGCUUGGCAGUGAAUAUCCUUACUGGGGCGUUGCGUAUGGUGGGCGUGCGCGCCGCACCGCGACGUUUCAUGCCGAAGUGCCCGUGCACGAGGUAAUUCCGAGCCGCUUGUACGACAUGUUCGUCUGCAUGUUGCGCGGUUGUCUGGAUGUGUGAGUUUACACGCUCUGUCUCCGGCGAUCGGUUCGGUCCUAAGCGGUUAGAGUUCGGAUCAGUUUCUUUGGGUUCGCGCGUUUCUCUUGUUCUCGUCCACCAUUCUAAGGCUUUCUUAGAUCCUUGAUGCCCUUUUUGGAUUCUUUGGAUCUGGGGUUCGAGCUGGGUGAAUCACGUUUAAUCUGACUUGGUCAGAACCUGGCCUUGUAGGUUAAGCUUGUGACGAGAGGCUGGCUCUCAUUUCCUGAUUCGUCUAAAUGCUAGACGUCGGCAAUGAGUACCUUUUCCUCUUGUCCUGCCCGAGUGUUUUGUCGACGCCGCUUGGAUAUAAGAUCCAGUGGGACUGAUUAAGAUGAUCCGUUGGCUGGGCCUAUGAACGAGUCAAUUUUAGACGAGAUUUUUGUGAGACAACAGACGUAGGAAUUCAAUAUGAUUGAUUUCGUUUUCUCCCGCGUGGGGCUUACCCUUGUUCGGGGGCGGGUACGCGUGCGUUCUACGUGCCGACUCGGGGUGCUGAAUCUACGGGAAUCCUUCUGAAUGGGAACUCAUAUCAUGGAUUUUAUAAACCCGAAGUAUCGCGCGAGAAACUUUAUAAAUAAUAAGUCCACGCGCGCAAAUUUAGUAUUAUUCGCGAGUGUUCCGCGUGUAUUCCGCGUGUGCAACGAGAGGAAGAGGACAACCUAAAUGACACUGAGAGGAGGAGGAGGCCUGGGAGAGGCAUCGGGCGCCAGCGGAGCAACCUUGGGUAAUCACCGUAGCUUCGUAGCUGAGUAACUCCGCUCGUUGCGCAUCGGGUCGGUGAGUCGUAUCUAAAUCAAUUUAGUUUAUUUUAUGCUUUGCAAAUGUCCUGCGCAGGAUUAAGAAAAGGACACUAAAAAAUGAGUUUGGUAAUAGCUACUACAUGUUGAGUGAAAUAAUGCCAAUUAAACAUUUGAUUAAUAGAUAUUACCAAAAAUAUUACUAAACUUUUUUUUUAGUGGACUCAAAUAAUUUUUCGAAGGGGAAACCGAGUACCCAAUCGCGCGCGAUCGGUCCUCGGGAGUGCCGUGUAAAGUACACUGAAAAUAAAGUCUGAUAAUAAGCGCCAAAUGUAUAGCGUAAUAGUAUCAAUUAACUAUUUGGUUAAUGUAAUUAAAAGUAAUUUUACUUUUUUGAAUAUUUAGUAAAGUUAUACCAGAUUUGGUGAUUACUAAACAUUUAGGAAAAUAAAAUUGUUAUUAUAUUUGGACAUAAUGACAAAAUAUUUAAUUGAUAUUAUUUCACUAUACAUUUGGUUGUUAUUACUAGAUUUUUUUCCGUGUAUCAUCGCGCGAUCGUAACCGUAUUUUCGCGAGUGAGUUAGUGCAAUCUUGUCGAUGCUUUGAGAAGAAGAGGAUGAGGCCUGCGAGGCAACCUUCAGGAGGUGAGUUCAAAUAUACACAACAUAUACACAAUGAAAAAGAAGUCAGGUAAUAACUGCUAAAUGUAUAGUGAAAUAGUAUUAAUUAAAUGUUUUGUCAAUAUAACCAAAAAUAAUUUUAUUUUUCUAAAUGUUUUGUAAGUAUUACCAAAUCUGGUAUAAAUUUACUAAAUAUUUAGAAUAGAAAUAUUAUUUUUGGUUCCAAUGACCAAAUAUUUAUUUGAUAAUAUUUUACAUUUGAUAGUCAUUGCCAGUUUUUUUUUCAUUGCAGGAUUUAUAACAUAUCUAGCCUAUCUAACCGAUGGAUAUCGUAUGUUACAGAUGUUCUUCGAGAUGGAAGGACAUUGAAGAGAGAGGACAUUACCCAUCGUCGCCGACUUAUAACAAAAUAAACGAACCGCAGCCGGUUUGUCGCGUGGCGCGUUUUUUUUUUCGGGAGUGCCGUUUAAAGUAACUGGACUAAUGGACUCAAAAGACUCUUAUAGACUUAAUUAGUCCACGGGCGCAAUUUUAGUGUCUUUGACGCGAGUGUUCCGCGAGUGCAACGAAAAGAAGAGACACGACCGGGAUCUAAGAGGGGGCGGAGGCGGCAUCGAACGUCGCGUCGACACACCUUCAGAUUAAAUCGCAGGAUCUGAGAGGAGGUAGAGGCCUGGGAGAGGCAUAUGGCACCAGCGGAGCAACCUUGGGUAAUCACCGUAGUUUGCGCAUCGGGUCGGUGAGUCGUACCUAAAUCAAUUUAUUUUAUUUUAUUUUUAUGCUUUGCAAAUAUCCUGCGCAGGACUAAGAAAAGGACACUAAAAAAAAGAGUUUGAUAAUAAUUACUAAAUGUUGAGUGAAAUAAUGCCAAUUAAACAUUCGAUUGAUAAAUAUUACCAAAAAUAUUACUAAACUCUUUUCUUCAGUGGACUCAAAUAAUUUUUCGAAGGGGAAACCGAGUACCCAAUCGCGCGCGAUCGGUCCUCGGGAGUGCCGUGUAAAGUACACUGAAAAUAAAGUCUGAUAAUAAGCGCCAAAUGUAUAGUGUAAUAGUAUCAAUUAACUAUUUCAAUGUAACUAAAAGUAAUUUUACUUUAAAUAUUUAAUAAAGUUAUACCAGAUUUGGUAAUACUUACUAAACGUUUAGGAAAAUAAAAUUAUUAUUAUUUUUUGACGUAAUGACAAAAUAUUUAAUUGAUACUAUUUCACUAUACAUUUGGUAGUUAUUACCAGAUUUUUUUUUCGUGUAUCAUCGCGCGAUCGUAACCGUAUUUUCGCGAGUGAAUUAGUGCGAUCCUAUUGAUGAUCUGAGAGGAAGAGGGUGAGGCCUGCGAGGCAAUCUUCAGGUGAGUUCAAAUAUAUACAACAUAUACACACUGAAAAAGAAAUGAGGUAAUAACUAUCAAAUGUAUAGUGAAAUAGUAUCAAUUAAAUAUUUUGUCAAUAC